UACGUAGGGGGCUAGCGUUGUCCGGAAUCAUUGGGCGUAAAGAGCGUGUAGGCGGCCCGGUAAGUCCGCUGUGAAAGUCGGGGGCUCAACCCUCGAAAGCCGGUGGAUACUGUCGGGCUAGAGUGCGGAAGAGGCGAGUGGAAUUCCAGGUGUAGCGGUGAAAUGCGUAGAUAUCUGGAGGAACACCGGUGGCGAAGGCGGCAUCCUGGACCAAUAUUGACGCUGAGGGGCGAAAGCCAGGGGAGCAAACGGG
rnacentral:rRNA from 1 species